GAAGGAUCCUCCUAGGAUCAAUGGUCCAAUUAGUUGAUCGUCGGUAACUGAAUCUCCUGCCACCUAUUUGACUUUCGGUGGCGGUGGCGCUGCCAUGGCCGGCCACUAUAGUGAUCUGAUGAUUAUGGGUUUGUGGGGUAUGUUGAUCACUACUAGUAGUCAAUGCCAUGGCCUUUUCUGGCGUGCUACCUCCUCCUAGCAAUGAACUUGCUCUAGGGGAAUUUGCCGUGUCUUUCUCAGUGACAGCAUUUGAAU
rnacentral:misc_RNA from 1 species